CUCAAAUAGAAAUGCCUCGAAAGAAGACAACGUUCUCUUCGAGGGACACUAUUGAGAAAAUUUAGAGAAGCGGUAUUUAAGGCUGACUGUAGAGCGCCUCUUCUGGCACCAACAUAAAUUUCGCGUAGAGACCAAGAAGAUAAGAUACGAGGAAUUGAUACUGAUACAAGGCUUAUAGACAGUCGUUUUACCCUCGUUUUCUUUGCGAGUGUAACAGGAAAGGAAAUAAUUAGUAGUGGUACAGGAUACCCUCCGCCCUGCAUCAUACGGUGAAUUGCGAUGUAUGUAUGCAGAUGUAGAUGUAGAAAAAGAUGGGCGGAUAACGACCAUUACAAUACCAAGGUGGAAGCAGAGAAAGAUACAUUAGUGUUAUGAGGUGUAUAAGGCAGGGUUCCGUCCUAUCCCUAACGAAGCUUAUAUUUUAUGUUGUUGCAGGAAUUAAACAAGUGAAAUCAUGUUUCAGACAAGGAAUGAAAUCCCAUAGAGCAUUAAUACAAGAAGCAAAGAGUUGGAGAAGACGUAGCCCUCCCGUAAGAAAUAAACAGAAAUGCAGAAGAACUGUUAACUGGAAUGUAUAGAACAUUGGUAAUGUAGAAACUAAACAACGGUUAAAGUGAGGAAGAGUAUUCGGACGAAAAAUAGGGAGUAAUCAGCGUUGAAUUUGAGAAAGAUAUCGCAGAAGAACACUGUGUAACAACACACAGCAUGAUAACAAGGUGUGAACAAAUCAAAGAAAAAGGAGAAGUCAGAUGCUUCAGCGAUGAAACGUUUUUUGAUAUAAAACUGCUACUAAAGCUAGAUAUUGUGUUGGUUUUUACCAAAACGAUCGUAAAAGUGUAGGAGCACAGUAUUGUAUGGGAGUUAAGAAAAAUGGGAAAUACCGAAAAAAGUGCUGGAAGAAUUUUUAAAUUGACACUAUAAAAGAGCGUUGCAAGUUAAGUAAUAAAACGCAAGAUGAUGUAUUAGAAAUAAUUGUACAGGAAGUAAAUCUACCGCGAAUCGUUAUCGGAGGUAGGCAGAUUAUGGUGCCAACCAUGACGGGUUGAUUAGGCGUCCAGAUGGUGACAGGUGUAGGGGAGAGUGGAGUACCUUGGCACACUUUUCAGACUUUCUCUUCUAGCCAGCCCUGAAGCAGGAGUUUAAGAUAUUUUCUUAUUGUAUUCUGAUAUGAUAGAAUUCGUUUUAUGUGUGAUACAGUCUAUU